rnacentral:misc_RNA from 1 species
UGCAGAGAAGGCUGCAGAAGAGCUUUCUAACAAGCUGGUAAUUAAGGGCCUUAGGUUGAAAUUGAUGUGGGGCAGACCUCAAGCACCAAAAGCGGAGACUGAAGGGUCUGAUGAAGCGAAACAAGCAGCAGUGGCUCACAGCGGAAUGUUGCCACGAGCAGUUAUCUCGCAGCAGCACAGCCAACUACACCCUCCGGGAACACAUGACCAACCUCAAGCUAUGCACUACUUCAAUAUUCCACCG